UAAUACAGAGGGUGCGAGCGUUAAUCGGAUUUACUGGGCGUAAAGCGUGCGUAGGCGGCUUUUUAAGUCGGAUGUGAAAUCCCUGAGCUUAACUUAGGAAUUGCAUUCGAUACUGGGAAGCUAGAGUAUGGGAGAGGAUGGUAGAAUUCCAGGUGUAGCGGUGAAAUGCGUAGAGAUCUGGAGGAAUACCGAUGGCGAAGGCAGCCAUCUGGCCUAAUACUGACGCUGAGGUACGAAAGCAUGGGGAGCAAACAGGAUUAGAUACCCUGGUAGUCCAUGCCGUAAACGAUGUCUACUAGCCGUUGGGGCCUUUGAGGCUUUAGUGGCGCAGCUAACGCGAUAAGUAGACCGCCUGGGGAGUACGGUCGCAAGACUAAAACUUAAAUGAAUUGACGG
rnacentral:rRNA from 1 species